UUCCUGGUGGUCUAGUGGUUAGAAUUUGGUGCUUUCACCACUGUGGUCCAGGUUCAAUCCCUGGUCUGUGAA
rnacentral:tRNA from 1 species